UCUUGGUCAUUUAGAGGAAGUAAAAGUCGUAACAAGGUUUCCGUAGGUGAACCUGCGGAAGGAUCAUUACAGAGUUCAUGCCCUUACGGGUAGAUCUCCCACCCUUUGAGUACUAUACUUUUGUUGCUUUGGCAGGCCGCUUCGGCUACCGGCUUCGGCUGGUGAGUGCCUGCCAGAGGACCCCAAACUCUGAAUUAUAGUGUCGUCUGAGAACUAUAUAAUAGUUAAAACUUUCAACAACGGAUCUCUUGGUUCUGGCAUCGAUGAAGAACGCAGCGAAAUGCGAUAAGUAAUGUGAAUUGCAGAAUUCAGUGAAUCAUCGAAUCUUUGAACGCACAUUGCGCCCCUUGGUAUUCCGGGGGGCAUGCCUGUUCGAGCGUCAUUAUAACCCUCAAGCCUAGCUUGGUGUUGGAGCCUGCCUCUGGGCAGCUCUUAAAAUCAGUGGCGGUGCCGUCUGGCUCUAAGCGUAGUAAUUCUUCUCGCUACAGAGUCCCGGCGGUUGCUUGCCAACAACCCCAAAUUUUCUAUGGUUGACCUCGGAUCAGGUAGGGAUACCCGCUGAACUUAAGCAUAUCAAUAA
rnacentral:rRNA from 1 species